CCUACGGGAGGCAGCAGUGAGGAAUAUUGGUCAAUGGACGAGAGUCUGAACCAGCCAAGUAGCGUGAAGGAUGACUGCCCUAUGGGUUGUAAACUUCUUUUAUAUGGGAAUAAAAUGUUCCACGUGUGGGAUUUUGUAUGUACCAUAUGAAUAAGGAUCGGCUAACUCCGUACCAGCAGCCGCGGUAAUACGGAGGAUCCGAGCGUUAUCCGGAUUUAUUGGGUUUAAAGGGAGCGUAGGUGGAUUGUUAAGUCAGUUGUGAAAGUUUGCGGCUCAACCGUAAAAUUGCAGUUGACACUGGCAGUCUUGAGUACAGUAGGGGUGGGCGGAAUUCGGGGUGUAGCGGUGAAAUGGUUAGAUAUCACGAAGAACUCCGAUUGCGAAGGCAGUUCACUGGACUGCAACUGACACUGGGGCUCGAAAGUGUGGGUAUCAAACAGGAUUAGAAACCCUAGUAGU
rnacentral:rRNA from 1 species